CACGUAGGGCGCAAGCGUUGUCCGGAAUUAUUGGGCGUAAAGAGCUCGUAGGCGGUUUGUCGCGUCUGCCGUGAAAGUCCGGGGCUCAACUCCGGAUCUGCGGUGGGUACGGGGCAGACUAGAGUGAUGUAGGGGGAGACUGGAAUUCCUGGUGUAGCGGUGAAAUGCGCAGAUAUCAGGAGGAACACCGAUGGCGAAGGCAGGUCUCUGGGCAUUAACUGACGCUGAGGAGCGAAAGCAUGGGGAGCGAACAGG
rnacentral:rRNA from 1 species